GACGGAGGAUGCAAGUGUUAUCCGGAAUCACUGGGCGUAAAGCGUCUGUAGGUGGUUUAAUAAGUCAACUGUUAAGUCUUGAGGCUCAACUUCAAAAUCGCAGUCGAAACUAUUAGACUAGAGUAUAGUAGGGGUAAAGGGAAUUUCCAGUGUAGCAGUGAAAUGCGUAGAGAUGUGGAGGAACACCGAUGGCGAAGGCAGCCCCCUGGGUCAAGAUUGACGCUCAUGCACGAAAG
rnacentral:rRNA from 1 species